rnacentral:tRNA from 1 species
AAAGAAAUAUUAUCUAAAAGCUUCUAACUUUUUCAAAAGCAUUAAAUUGUUUAU